UGGGGAAUAUUGCGCAAUGGGCGAAAGCCUGACGCAGCGACGCCGCGUGGGUGAUGAAGGCCUUCGGGUCGUAAAGCCCUGUCGGGGGGGACGAAACCUCUCAGUGCUAAUAUCACUGGGACCUGACGGUACCUCCAAAGGAAGCACCGGCUAACUCCGUGCCAGCAGCCGCGGUAAUACGGAGGGUGCAAGCGUUGUUCGGAAUUACUGGGCGUAAAGCGCGUGUAGGCGGUCUCUUAAGUCUGGUGUGAAAGCCCGGGGCUCACCCCCGGAAGUGCAUUGGAUACUGGGAGACUCGAGUACCGGAGAGGAGGGUGGAAUUCCUGGUGUAGCGGUGAAAUGCGUAGAUAUCAGGAGGAACACCGAUGGCGAAGGCAGCCGUCUGGGUCGACACUGACGCUGAGGCGCGACGGCGUGGGGAGCAAACAGGAUUAGAUACCCUGGUAGUCCACGCGGUAAACGAUGAGAACUAGACGUCAGGCGGGUUUAACUGUUUGGUGUCGGAGCUAACGCGUUAAGUUCUCCGCCUGGGGAGUACGGCCGCAAGGUUG
rnacentral:rRNA from 1 species